AUUGAACGCUGGCGGCAGGCCUAACACAUGCAAGUCGAGCGAGCGGCGGACGGGUGAGUAAUGUAUGGGGACUGCCCGAUAGAGGGGGAUAACUACUGGAAACGGUGGCUAAUACCGCAUACUAUAGGAUACCCCAUAUGGGAUUAGCUAGUAGGUGGGGUAAAGGCUCACCUAGGAGACGCUCGCUAGCUGGACUGAGCGGAUGAUCAGCCACACUGGGACUGAGACACGGCCCAGACUCCUACGGAGGCAGCAGUGGGGAAGAUUGAACAAGGGACGCAAGCCUGAUGCAGACAUGCCGCGUGUAUGAAGAAGGCCUUAGGGUUGUAAAGUACUUUCAGCGGGGAGGCGUUACCCGCAGAAGAAGCACCGGCUAACUCCGUGCCAGCAGCCGCGGGAAUAA
rnacentral:rRNA from 1 species